rnacentral:SRP_RNA from 1 species
UGGCUACGACGCCGCGGCCUCGGCCGCCGAUGCAACGCUCCGCGACACGGCCCUGUGCUUGAGCCACGCGGAU